rnacentral:rRNA from 1 species
AGCAGCCGCGGUAAUUCCAGCUCCAAUAGCGUAUAUUAAAGUUGUUGCAGUUAGAAAGCUCGUAGUUGAAUUUCAGGCCUGGCUGGACGGUCCGCCCUUCGGGUGAGUACUGUCUGUGGUCGGGUCCUACCUUCUGGCGAAGCGUCAUGGCCUUAACCGGCCGUGGCGGGGAACCAGGACUUUUACUGUGAAAAAAUUAGAGUGUUCAAAGCAGGCAAUCGCUUGGAUACAUUAGCAUGGAAUAAUGGAAUAGGACAAUGGUUCUAUUUGUUGGUUUCUAGGACCGUUGUAAUGAUUAAUAGGGAUAGUUGGGGGCAUUAGUAUUCAAUUGUCAGAGGUGAAAUUCUUGGAUUUAUUGAAGACUAACUACUGCGAAAGCAUUUGCCAAGGAUGUUUUCAUUAAUCAAGAACGAAAGUUAGGGGAUCGAAGACGAUCAGAUACCGUCGUAGUCUUAACCAUAAACUAUGCCGACUAGGAAUCGGGCGAUGUUGGAAAAAUGACGC